CACAGGACCAGAAGGCGGUGACCCCCCUGGACCCAGCUUUCACUAUCUUGUGUGUGUCUAUUAUUUCUCAACCUGCCGAUCUGCCUGGGAACAAAGAGAAAGCCCCGUUGCAUUGCGGGCUGCUGGCCAGAUCCCGCAAUACCCAACAUAUUUCUACAGAGCACAAGGGGUGCACAGGCUCCAGUUUCAGGUGUUUAGGUUCAUGAGAUGUGGAGCCUGCUGAUAUGGAGGCCCAACCCUGGCCUGGGUUACGCAAGCCUGCCUAUUGCCCAAGCUGGGAACAGCCAACAGAGAUGAGGGCUGGGGUGUGGGACAGCCAGGGAGCAGCUCUACUUAGCCAAAUUGAAAUGCUGAGAUGCCAGAAGAAGCUUCCCCCAUCACUCUCUCUAGGAAGAAAUAUUUGAAUCUUGACUGGAAAGAGUACAGAUAUCAGAAAGGAAGAACAAGAGGAGGCUAAUGUGGUUUCACUCCAGAAAAUGCCUCCACAGCUGCAGGGAAGUUCUUGGAAGCCUGUAAAACUGUGUUUGGAAAUAGGCAGAGCUGCCAAAUAAUGCUGGUAAAUUUCUCAUAGCAGAGUAAGAGAGAGCUUCGGCUUUAUAGCAUUUUAGAAGAUUGCAUAAAUUCAUAAGUUAAAUAUAUGACACUCAUGUUCAGGAAGGACAGAACUUUACCCCACAGACUUUUGAAAUGAGCCAUGGAACAAGGUCCUGUGAGCCUUGACCUGGUCCUGACGUUGGAAAAAUCAGGCUGUGUUGGCAAGCCCUGCAGAAGCAAUGAUGGAGAAGCAUUAUUGAAGAAAUACGUAUUCAACAGAGAAUUGUUGGGCCAUCCUAAAAUUUACUUUCAGUAAAAAUCAUUCAGGAGGAACAAGAAAGGGUGGCAAUAUUGGCUGUUCUCAAAACAAACCAAAGAGCAAAGUGGGCUGGGCCUGGUGGCUGGCACCUGUAGUCCCAGCUUCUUGGGAGGCCAAGGCAGGAGGAUUGCUGGAGUACAGGAGUUCAAGGCUGCAGUGAGCUAUGAUCAUGCCACUACACGCCAGCCUGAGCAACAGAGUGAGGUCCUAUCUCGAAAGAAAGAAGAAAGGAAGGAAGGAAGGAAGGAGAAAGAAAGAAAGAAAGAAUAAAGAAAGAAAGAAAGAAGGAAAGAAAGAAAAAGGAAGGAAGGAAGGAAGAAAGAAAGAGAAAGAAGAAGGAAGGAAGAAAAGAAGGAAGGAAGGAAAGGAAAGAAAGAAAGAAAGAAAAGAAAGAAAGAAAGGCACCUUGAGGUCAGAUCCCUGCCAACAAAUUCCUAGAGUGGAAAGAAAUAAUGCUCCAACUCUGGUCAGAAGUUCCCAUAGAGAACAGUUUUCUAUGUUGCGUAAUAAAUUACCACAAACUUAGCAGCUUCAAGCAACGCACAUUUGUUAUCUCUGAAUUUCUGUGCAUCCAAAGUGUACACAUGACCUAGCUGGGUCCUCUUGUCUGAGGUCAUGUAAAGCUGCUGUCAGGGUGUCAGCAGGGCUGUGUUUUCAUCAGAGGCUUUAAGAAUCCGCUCCAGACUUGGGUUUUGACAGAAUUUAUCUCCUGGUGGUUGUGGGACAGAGGCCCCUAUUUCUCACUGGCUGUUGGCUAGAAACUAGACCCUACUCCUAGAGGCCAGCCACAGUUCUCAUCCUGUAAACCCCAUAGACAGUUCAAACAUAGUAGCCGUGUUCUUCAAAACUGGAGAGAAUCUCUCUCUCUAGUCUGCUGUAAUGGAACACAGUCACAGGAGUAAUCAUCUUAUAUUCGCUUGGCUACAGAUAAGUCACAGGUUCCUUCCACUCUCAAGGGGAGAGAAUUAAACAAAGGGCAUGACUCACUGGGGGUAACGUUAAGGUAUGUCUGCCACGCACCAAUAAAAUUCAUUGUGUGUGCAUGUGUACCUGUGCACACAGGCACAUGUGUAUGUUUAUGGGAAAGGCAGAUCACUGCCUUGGUUUUGAGUUCCCCCAGGCUCAGACUCUGAGGCAGGAAUUCAUGUGGAGCUGGUCUCUUUGGGAGCUGAUCCUAGGAAAUGCCUGCAGGGCUGCAGGGGAAGGGGAAAUUGCCAUAGUGAAGAGAGGCAGCUAAGAAAAGAUGUGUUAAUAAAUUAUGAACUGUGGACUGCUUGAGCUUUCAUCCCUCUGGGAAUUCAAGACUCCCACACAAUACACACGCGUCAGAGUAUUACCUGAGGGCUGGGGGCUGCAGUGUUUAUCCACCAGCAGCAGGUACUGAAAACAGCAGGAACUGAGAGGAUACAGGAAAGACCUGAGGGCAACUUCAUGAGCACAAAUAUCACAAGGUCGAUCACUAGACUAGCACCCCUAGUACUUAGCAUGUAACUUCCUUGAGAGAAGGAAGAUGAAGAAAUAUGUUUGUACUGUAAGUCAGUGGACUACUAGAUCUCUUCUCCUAAUCUAUCCCAUAGGGAGAGAAUUUUUGAAUCCAAAAUUGUAAAUAUUUUCAAAUACUUUCCUCAGGUUGAAAACAUCAUGAGAUGAAGGACAUUUCAUUUACAAGAACCGUGGAAGAACCAGGGAAGCCAGAAGGCCAGGCAGGGCUGACCCCCAAGAGAGAAGCAGUUACAGUAGAAGACUGCAACUUCCAGGGAGCUGUACAGAGCAGAGAUGCGCACACGUUUAAAGCAGGACCCCUGAGCAUGAGGGGUGCAGUGGGGAUGCAGCUAACAGCUGACAGCAGAAGCAUCCCUGAUUGGCCUGACCACCAAGGAGGCACUGUGGGAAGAGAAGGACUGUCAAAGUUGCUUUAACUUUUUAUUGAGUAUAUCAUACACGAACAGAAAUGUGCACAUAUCGUAAGUACACACCUGAAUGAAUUUUCACAGACAGGACACAGCCAUGGAACCAGACCCAGAUCAAGAAGCAGAACCUGGACAGCACCCCAGAAGCUGCCUUUGUGCCCAUUUCCACUCUUGAUCCUUCCCCCCGAGGAGGCAACCACUAUCCUGACUCAGCACAACGUGGACUCGCUUUGCCUGUUUUCAUAUACAUGGAAUCAUAUAACAUAUACUCAUUUUUGUCCGACAAUAUUGUUUGUGACAUCAUCCAUGUCAUUGCAUCAUUCUAGAGCAUUUAUUUUCAUGCUAUGUCAUAUUUCAUUCUGGAAAUAUAUACUAAAUUGUUCAUUCUAUUGUUGAUGGGCAUUGGGGUAGUUUCUUAAUAGGAUUUGAGUUUGGUUGAGUUUGUUUGCUCUGUGGCAUACAAUAUCAUCAUUUUCUCUGUCUCAACACAAAAUCUUUAAUCAAUGAUGUGGGGCGUGAAAGGAUUUUGUAAAGUCAACGCAAAGAAGUGCCAAGUCCAGUGUCGGGGAUAGUGUGGCAUGGAACAGAAGCCACGUGAGAACCAGCCACAUCAGGUCGAUUUUAAUUUCUUGAGUUACUCAUUAGAUUUCAUUCAACAAAAUGCAUCAAGUUACCUAAUCAGGCUGACUGGAACCAGGCAAAUUUAGACAAAUGCCUCCAGUGGACAUCUUGUAUAAUUUUGCUUUUUUGCUUCCCUUCUUGAGAAAUUCCAUGUAGUCCAGAGCUGUUGAUUAUAAAAUCCCACUUAUACACCAAGAGAAUGGACAUGGGACCCAAAACAGACCAAUUAAAGUUUCAUUCUUAGGAAUUUUAAUUUUGUGUGUGUGACUUUCUUAGUUGUUUUGUUUGUUUAUUUGUUUAAUGAGACAGGAGGAUCUCACAAUGGUUUCGAGACUGG
rnacentral:lncRNA from 10 species